rnacentral:rRNA from 1 species
UACGUAGGGUCCGAGCGUUGUCCGGAAUUAUUGGGCGUAAAGGGCGCGCAGGCGGUCCGGCACGUCCGUUGUGAAAUCGCUCGGCUCAACUGGGCGGGGUCAGCGGAUACGGCCGCACUUGAGCAAGCUAGGGGGCAAUGGAAUUCCCGGUGUAGUGGUGGAAUGCGUAGAGAUCCGGAGGAACACCAGCGGCGAAGGCGGCAUCCUGGACUGGUCCUGACACUCAUGAGCGAAAGCGUGGGGAGCGAUCCGG